AAUGGAUGACUUCGCGUUUGUACAGCUGCUGCUUCUCGGCGCUUAAAAAUGGCGAUCUUUCAUGGUCUUGUUAUUGUUGUUGGUCUUAACAACUCCGCCCCCCCGCUGACGUAAGCGGUUCUUUCCUCUGGCCCAGCAGAGAGUUGGUGCAGCCUGGAACCGGCUUGGACUGAUAAAAGAAACAGACUCUCUGUUGCAAUGGUGAAGGCUGAGCUUCAAGUCAGGCUAAACUUUCAGUUGUCCUGUACUGAGUUCAAGACAUUCAUUGAAAAUCAGCCAGGACUCAUAGCAGCAGCAAAGAAAAACACCAAAUAUAAAUGGAAGAUUAGCCAAGAGCAGCAGAGGCACAGGCAAGCACAAGCAAAGCACACACCACACUCUAAGCAAUCAGUUGUCCACAACCAAAAACUGUUGGAAAUAAACCAAAAUACUGAAGACCUAGCCUAGUAAACUAGACCCACCCGCCUAGCGGCCAAAAAUAUUUUUGCCUAGCGAGUGGGUCUAGCCUCGCACCAUGUAAACAAAAACACUCCGGGCAUCAAAUCGUGCCCGCCAAUCACAACGCAAGGUUUUUGUUUGGAUUCUUUGGGCGGGCUUUUGCAGGAGUGACGACAAAGCUGCGCGACGCUGGAGAAAGCGCAGUAGGAAAGAUGGCUACGGCUAGUGAACAGCGCGCGUUUGACUCCACUUUGGAAUCAGUUUUAGAAGAAUUAGACUUGGAGUUUUCGUUGAAACAUGAGCAGGAAGAGGCUCUCCGCUCAUUCCUUUUCAAGAAGGACGUUUUCGCUGUUUUGCCGACCGGCUAUGGCAAAAGUCUGAUCUACCAGCUGGCUCCGCUCGUAGCCAAAAGGAUGGGGCUAGUUUGUGCAGUACGAAGAAUUAAUAAACAGCUUUGAAACAUUACUUUUUGAUUGUU